CCUACGGGAGGCAGCAGUGGGGAAUAUUGCACAAUGGGGGAAACCCUGAUGCAGCGACGCCGCGUGAAGGAAGAAGUAUUUCGGUAUGUAAACUUCUAUCAGCAGGGAAGAAAAUGACGGUACCUGACUCAGAAGCCCCGGCUAACUACGUGCCAGCAGCCGCGGUAAUACGUAGGGGGCAAGCGUUAUCCGGAUUUACUGGGUGAAAAGGGAGCGUAGGCGGUUUAGCAAGUCAGAGGUGAAAGCCCGGGGCACAACUCCGGGACUGCUUUUGAAACUGUUGAACUAGGUUGCAGGAGAGGUAAGUGGAAGUCCUGGGGUGGCGGUGAAAUGCGUAGAUAUUAGGGGAAACACCAGGGGCGAAGGCGGCUUACUGGACUGUAAAUGACGCUGGGGCUCGAAAGCGUGGGGGGCAAACAGGAU
rnacentral:rRNA from 1 species